UCAAGCUUGCAAGGGGGUUGCCUGUGCAUUUUUCUUUUUCAGAGAGCUGGUUGCUACAUCCCAGGGGCAGGCCACCAUGGCUGGAGAGCUCUGCUUCUUCCUCCUUCACUGAAUCCAGCCGAAUACCCCUCGGUGUAUGACUCCACACCCCCAGUGUCCUUUUCACGGAGGAAAAGCCAAGUUCAGGAAUACCCUUCUCUUCAUACCUCUGCCUGCUGAAACCUCCCCAUCCUUCAAGGCCCAGCUCUGAUGACACCCUCCCUCCCCUCCAAGCACGGGAUGACCUCUCUGGCUUGGGAUCACCAUUGGGAGUCGUUCCCCUCUUCAAAGGCAUCUAAGGAUGUUUUGUUAUGCAUCUACGGUGUGACAGGUCUUGGAGAUACAGCUCUUCUGGGCAGCUUCCAAGAUUUCACAGCUAGGAGGUGCCACAGUGUAUACAGCCUGGAGUCAGGAAGAGUCAUCUCCCUGAGUUCAAAUCUGGCCUCAGAC